rnacentral:ncRNA from 1 species
GAGAGCCGUAUGAAUUGAAAGGUUCACGUACGGUUCGGGAAAGGGGCUAGAAUAUCAUUAGGCUUGCUCGACACUGGU